AGGACGAACGCUGGCGGCGUGCUUAACACAUGCAAGUCGAGCGGAAAGGCCCUUCGGGGUACUCGAGCGGCGAACGGGUGAGUAACACGUGAGCAACCUGCCCUUAGCUCUGGGAUAGCUCCGGGAAACCGGAAUUAAUACCGGAUAUGACCUAGGCCGACAUCGGCCGUGGUGGAAAGUUUUUCGGCUAGGGAUGGACUCGCGGCCUAUCAGCUAGUUGGUGGGGUAAUGGCCUACCAAGGCGACGACGGGUAGCCGGCCUGAGAGGGCGACCGGCCACACUGGGACUGAGACACGGCCCAGACUCCUACGGGAGGCAGCAGUGGGGAAUCUUGCGCAAUGGGCGAAAGCCUGACGCAGCGACGCCGCGUGCGGGAUGAAGGCCUUCGGGUUGUAAACCGCUUUCAGCAGGGACGAAGCGAAAGUGACGGUACCUGCAGAAGAAGCGCCGGCUAACUACGUGCCAGCAGCCGC
rnacentral:rRNA from 1 species